UACGUAGGGUGCGAGCGUUAAUCGGAAUUACUGGGCGUAAAGCGUGCGCAGGCGGUUCGUUAAGUCCGAUGUGAAAGCCCCGAGCUUAACUUGGGAAUGGCAUUGGAAACUGGCGGGCUGGAGUGUGGCAGAGGGGGGUGGAAUUCCACGUGUAGCAGUGAAAUGCGUAGAGAUGUGGAGGAACACCGAUGGCGAAGGCAGCCCCCUGGGUCAAGACUGACGCUCAUGCACGAAAGCGUGGGGAGCAAACAGG
rnacentral:rRNA from 1 species